rnacentral:rRNA from 1 species
GAUGAACGCUGGCGGCGUGCCUAAUACAUGCAAGUCGAGCGAACAGACGAGGAGCUUGCUCCUCUGACGUUAGCGGCGGACGGGUGAGUAACACGUGGAUAACAUACCUAUAAGACUGGGAUAACUUCGGGAAACCGGAGCUAAUACCGGAUAAUAUAUUGAACCGCAUGGUUCAAUAGUGAAAGACGGUUUUGCUGUAACUUAUAGAUGGAUCCGCGCCGCAUUAGCUAGUUGGUAAGGUAACGGCUUACCAAGGCGACGACGCGUAGCCGACCUGAGCGGGUGAUCGGCCACACUGGAACUGAGACACGGUCCAGACUCCUACGGGAGGCAGCAGUAGGGAAUCUUCCGCAAUGGGCGAAAGCCUGACGGAGCAACGCCGCGUGAGUGAUGAAGGUCUUCGGAUCGUAAAACUCUGUUAUUAGGGAAGAACAAAUGUGUAAGUAACUAUGCACGUCUUGACGGUACCUAGUCAGAAAGCCACGGCUAACUACGUG